GUGGGGAAUAUUGGACAAUGGGCGAAAGCCUGAUCCAGCCAUGCCGCGUGUGUGAAGAAGGUCUUCGGAUUGUAAAGCACUUUAAGUUGGGAGGAAGGGCAGUAAGUUAAUACCUUGCUGUUUUGACGUUACCGACAGAAUAAGCACCGGCUAACUUCGUGCCAGCAGCCGCGGUAAUACGAAGGGUGCAAGCGUUAAUCGGAAUUACUGGGCGUAAAGCGCGCGUAGGUGGUUUUGUAAGUUGGAGGUGAAAGCCCCGGGCUCAACCUGGGAACUGCAUCCAAAACUGGCGAGCUAGAGUAUGGUAGAGGGUGGUGGAAUUUCCUGUGUAGCGGUGAAAUGCGUAGAUAUAGGAAGGAACACCAGUGGCGAAGGCGACCACCUGGACUGAUACUGACACUGAGGUGCGAAAGCGUGGGGAGCAAACAGGAUUAGAAACCCGUGUAGUCC
rnacentral:rRNA from 1 species